AGCCGCCGCGGGAACGACCGGCGGCCCGAGUGGUGAUCGUGAUUAUUGGGUCUAAAGGGUCCGUAGCCGGUUUGGUCAGUCCUCCGGGAAAUCUGAUAGCUCAACUAUUAGGCUUUCGGGGGAUACUGCCAGACUGGAACCGGGAGAGGUAAGAGGUACUACAGGGGUAGGAGUGAAAUCUUGUAAUCCCUGUGGGACCACCUGUGGCGAAGGCGUCUUACCAGAACGGGUUCGACGGUGAGGGACGAAAGCUGGGGGCACGAACCGGAUUAGAUACCCGGGUAGUCCCAGCCGUAAACGAUGCUCGCUAGGUGUCAGGCAUGGCGCGACCGUGUCUGGUGCCGCAGGGAAGCCGUGAAGCGAGCCACCUGGGAAGUACGGCCGCAAGGCUGAAACUUAAAGGAAUUGGCGGGGGAGCACAACAACGGGUGGAAGCCUGCGGUUUAAUUGGACUCAACGCCGGACAACUCACCGGGGGCGACAGCAAUAUGUAGGCCAAGCUGAAGACUUUGCCUGAAUCGCUGAGGGGUGGUGCAUGG
rnacentral:rRNA from 1 species